rnacentral:rRNA from 1 species
UACGUAGGGGGCAAGCGUUGUCCGGAUUUAUUGGGCGUAAAGAGCGUGUAGGCGGCCAAGCAGGUCCGCUGUGAAAACUCGAGGCUCAACCUCGAGACGUCGGUGGAAACCGUUUGGCUAGAGUCCGGAAGAGGAGAGUGGAAUUCCCGGUGUAGCGGUGAAAUGCGCAGAUAUCGGGAAGAACACCCGUGGCGAAGGCGGCUCUCUGGGACGGUACUGACGCUGAGACGCGAAAGCGUGGGGAGCGACAGG